rnacentral:lncRNA from 10 species
AGGAAAUCCAAUCUCUCCCACUCCAGCCCGCCUACUCAUUGAACAUGGCUGCUAUCUCUGUCUUCUGGAAACACGGCUCCAAUCCUGCAACAACUCUAUACAAGAGCUCCCAGUGAAAGCUUUCACUAGACCUUGAUGGCACUAUGGUCAUUAUCUUGUCAAAACUGUGGUGGAUUUGAAGAGCUAGUGAUGAAGAAUGGAGGUUUCCUGUCCUAGAAAUAACCAAAGGCCCAGGCUUGGAGGUGGCAGAAAAAGUGGCACUUAAGUUACUAGCCCAGUAUUUGGAAUUUGCCAAAGCUAUAUUCCUCAGAAUUUACUUCAAGAGCUCCUUUGUAUCGGCGGAGAAUGAAGAACGGAGAAGAGGAGGAGGAGGUUGAAAGAAACUUAAGAGAUGUGGCAACUAAUUGCAACGUGUAGAUUGUAUUUAGCUCAUGAUUCACACAAACUAGAUAUUUGUUAUUAAAGAAUUAUGGUUGUUUUUGGUGUGA